GACGACGGGAGUUGGGGAAAUGUCUGUUCUUUGGGUCCUGUGAUGGCGGUCACCUCCAGCCUGAGAUCACUGCGAAAAAGGAUUCUUCAGGGAAAAAGAUGACACGCAUCAUUAAACUUGCACAUCUCCCCAUCAGUCCCACCUGCAAACCAUUGCCAUGGUGUUUCUUCCCAGUCAUGCUGCCACAAGCGGGACCCUCUCUCCCAGUGCUGCAGGCUUCCUCGGCCCUCCACCAGUCUACACCAUCAACUCACAUCUCAAGGGAAAUGAUAAGCGAAGGGGAACUCUGAGAGCUCUACCGUUUUCCGUAGGUCCCACCACUCAUCAGAGUCACAGAGCAAAGCUGCAUACCUGGGUGCCAGACGCCAGCCACUCUCCACCGGCACUGCGUUGGGGGUGAGCUUCUUAACAGGUGGUGCAAACAUGAAUGCUCUCCACCUGCGGGCCCCAGCUACACCUCAGAGCAAUCUCGGAGCCUUUAUAAAUAAAAAUGUCUCAAGUCC
rnacentral:lncRNA from 10 species